rnacentral:piRNA from 1 species
UCUGAUUUAUUUAGCUCAAUA